GAGUUUGAUCAUGGCUCAGGAUGAACGCUGGCGGCGUGCUUAACACAUGCAAGUCGAACGAACCUUCGGGUUAGUGGCGGACGGGUGAGUAACGCGUGAGAAUCUGCCCUCAGGAGGGGGGAUAACGGUUGGAAACGACCGGCUAAUACCCCAUAUGCCUACUGGUGAAAUGAAUUUCGCCUGAGGAUGAGCUCGCGUCUGAUUAGCUAGUUGGUGAGGUAAUGGCUCACCAAGGCUUCGAUCAGUAGCUGGUCUGAGAGGAUGAUCAGCCACACUGGGACUGAGACACGGCCCAGACUCCUACGGGAGGCAGCAGUGGGGAAUUUUCCGCAACUGGGCGAAAGCCUGACGGA
rnacentral:rRNA from 1 species